rnacentral:lncRNA from 1 species
GACGGCAGAGCUCUGGAAAGCUCGAGUGGUGGUGGAUUGUAGACCAUGGUCGUGGUGAUGAUAUAAUCGGAGAACAAAUACAGCGUCUAAAGUCGGAGUGAGAUUCUCGGUGAGUGGUUUUUGCAACGGAGAAUCCCCUUGGAAGAACAGAGAUCUCCAAUUUAAUAUUUCCUUGUUGAUGAUGUGAGCCAUUGAAGGAGAGGUCGGCUUGAGAUGUGAAGUUGAUUUGUGAUCUUGGGCUUUUUAGAAGUAGAUUUCGCAACUAGCAGAUGUGAAGUCGUCCAAGUUAAGCUCCAAUUUUGAGGGUUCUUUGCUUACAAUUUGCAGAUAACUGCAUCUUUCUUCGCUGAUCUUAAUAUGACAUUAUCUUCUCCUCUGAAUAAUAGCGAAUCGAGGUCAGCAAGAUGUUGAGCGGGGGUGUGGCGUGACGCAGUGAUCUCUCCUAGCCCCUACUCUUUUUUUUUUUUUUUUUGAAACAAACUAAUCGUGACUGUGAUGUUUUCUCAGGUCAUGAACCUUGCUUGAAUGUACGAAACGGGAUACUCUCUUCUUGUUUCUCAUCAAGUUGAGGUGUUUGAACUCUUUGUAUUGUUCUAAAGAGCCUUCAAGUCGUGAAGUUUGAGGAGAUCGGAGAAUGGAGGACCGCAUUAUGCGGGAGGUCGGAGAACGUUUUGAUGUAGACUUGUCAUUCACUGCGAUUGUGCUUGAACCUCUUUUGUGUAGCUCGUCGGUGUUUGUUACGGAGGGUUAGCUCGGUCGUGAGAAGGUGCACACGAUCUUUGUUCUUGUUGAAGGUUGUUGUUUUGAUUGCUCCACAAGUUAUGUCUCAAACUGCUUCUGAGAAUUUGUAGAUUGCCACGAAUCCUUCUGAUUUUUCAGCAAAGGACUCCAUGGAACGUGGUAAUGUAGGUGAUGUCUCGAUGUGGUCUCGCCAUUCUCUGAGGCUUAGCUCGGUAUGGGAGAAGACGUAUGAAGACCAAUGAGUUCCAGAUUUGUUUGUGAAUUGCUG